UACGAAGGGGGCUAGCGUUGCUCGGAAUCACUGGGCGUAAAGCGCACGUAGGCGGAUUGUUAAGUCAGGGGUGAAAUCCUGGAGCUCAACGUCCAGAACUGCCUUUGAUACUGGCGAUCUUGAGUCCGGGAGAGGUGAGUGGAACUGCGAGUGUAGAGGUGAAAUUCGUAGAUAUUCGCAAGAACACCAGUGGCGAAGGCGGCUCACUGGCCCGGUACUGACGCUGAGGUGCGAAAGCGUGGGGAGCAAACA
rnacentral:rRNA from 1 species